AGUGUGUUGGAUAGGAUCAUGUGAAUAUCAUGGAAGAGAUAACACUCAGGCUCUGAGAGGUUAAGAAACUUGCCUAAGGACACACAGCCAGUAAGAAGAGAAAAAAAUCCAAGGGAGUGCAAGGGUGGCAGCAGAGAGAGCUGUAAGGACGAAUCCCAGGUGGAGCCUGCUCGGAGUACUGUGGGUCCUUAGCCGAUCUGAUUGAUGAGGUGCCCUUCCUCCAGUCUGCCCUGGCCUCAGUCCUGACCUCAGUACACUAAGUUAACAUUUCUCUCUUUAUUCCCAUUACACUGGGCAGUGUAUCCUCUUGACCAUGUGUGGUGGUACUCAGUAAACAUUUGUUGAAUGAAUGAAUGAAUAAGUCUGUCUCUGUUAAGACCACAAUGGUCUCCCACAGAGGUGGUUUAUUUUAAUGAAAGGUUCUUUAAAACCCAUCUUUAAAACUGCAAGAGCCAAAGGACUAACCAACUCUGCUGACGCCAUACCCUGCUGUGACCCUCAGGGAAAGGGCACCUUCCCAGUCCUUCUGGGGUGAUACAAGUAGGCAACAGCCCACUGCCAACAC